UACGUAGGGUGCAAGCGUUAAUCGGAAUUACUGGGCGUAAAGCGUGCGCAGGCGGUUUUGUAAGUCUGUCGUGAAAUCCCCCGGGCUCAACCUGGGAAUUGCGAUGGAGACUGCAAGGCUAGAAUCUGGCAGAGGGGGUAGAAUUCCACGUGUGAGCAGUGAAAUGCGUAGAGAUGUGGAGGAACACCGAUGGCGAAGGCAGCCCCUGGGUCAAGAUUGACGCUCCAUGCACGAAA
rnacentral:rRNA from 1 species